CACGUAGGGGGCAAGCGUUGUCCGGAUUUAUUGGGCGUAAAGAGCUCGUAGGCGGUUCAGCAAGUCGGGUGUGAAAAAUCUGGGCUCAACCCAGUGGAGCACCCGAUACUGCUGUGACUAGAGUCCGGUGAGGGGAGUGUGGAAUUCCGUGGUGUAGCAGUGAAAUGCGUAGAUAUCAGGAGGAAUACCGAUGGCGAAGGCAGGUCUCUGGGCCAAUACUGACGCUCAUGCACGAAAGCGUGGGGAGCAAACAGG
rnacentral:rRNA from 1 species